GACGAACGCUGGCGGCGUGCUUAACACAUGCAAGUCGAACGGAAAGGCCCUGCUUUUGUGGGGUGCUCGAGUGGCGAACGGGUGAGUAACACGUGAGUAACCUGCCCUUGACUUUGGGAUAACUUCAGGAAACUGGGGCUAAUACCGGAUAGGAGCUCCUGCUGCAUGGUGGGGGUUGGAAAGUUUCGGCGGUUGGGGAUGGACUCGCGGCUUAUCAGCUUGUUGGUGGGGUAGUGGCUUACCAAGGCUUUGACGGGUAGCCGGCCUGAGGGUGACCGGCCACAUUGGGACUGAGAUACGGCCCAGACUCCUACGGGAGGCAGCAGUGGGGAAUAUUGCACAAUGGGCGGAAGCCGGAUGCAGCAACGCCGCGUGCGGGAUGACGGCCUUCGGGUUGUAAACCGCUUUCGCCUGUGACGAAGCGUGAGUGACGGUAAUGGGUAAAGAAGCACCGGCUAACUACGUG
rnacentral:rRNA from 1 species